rnacentral:rRNA from 1 species
UGGGGAAUCUUCCGCAAUGGACGAAAGUCUGACGGAGCAACGCCGCGUGUAUGAUGAAGGCCUUCGGAUUGUAAAGUACUGUCAUUGGGGAAGAACGGUUUUCUUGAAAAGAUUGAGAAGACAUGACGGUACCCAAGGAGGAAGCCCCGGCUAACUACGUGCCAGCAGCCGCGGUAAUACGUAGGGGGCAAGCGUUGUCCGGAAUUAUUGGGCGUAAAGGGCGCGUAGGCGGGUCUUUAAGUCCGGUGUGAAAGAUCAGGGCUCAACCCUGAGAGUGCAUCGGAAACUGGAGGCCUUGAGGACAGGAGAGGAAAGUGGAAUUCCACGUGUAGCGGUGAAAUGCGUAGAUAUGUGGAGGAACACCAGUGGCGAAGGCGACUUUCUGGACUGUAACUGACGCUGAGGCGCGAAAGCGUGGGGAGCAAACAGGAUUAGAUACCCUGGUAGUCCACGCCGUAAACGAUGAGUGCUAGGUGUAGAGGGUAUCGACCCCUUCUGUGCCGCAGUUAACACAAUAAGCACUCCGCCUGGGGAGUACGGCCGCAAGGUUGAAACUGC